rnacentral:rRNA from 1 species
UUUAGAACGUCGUGAGACAGUUCGGUCCCUAUCUGCCGUGGGCGCUGGAGAACUGAGGGGGGCUGCUCCUAGUACGAGAGGACCGGAGUGGACGCAUCACUGGUGUUCGGGUUGUCAUGCCAAUGGCACUGCCCGGUAGCUAAAUGCGGAAGAGAUAAGUGCUGAAAGCAUCUAAGCACGAAACUUGCCCCGAGAUGAGUUCUCCCUGAGACUUUAAGUCUCCUGAAGGAACGUUGAAGACGACGACGUUGAUAGGCCGGGUGUGUAAGCGCAGCGAUGCGUUGAGCUAACCGGUACUAAUGAACCGUGAGGCUUAACCUUACAACGCCGAAG